rnacentral:hammerhead_ribozyme from 1 species
ACACUGCUGAGGAGUCCCACAAUAGGAUGAAACGACCGUCCAGUGU